rnacentral:rRNA from 1 species
UACGGAGGAUUCAAGCGUUAUCCGGAUUUAUUGGGUUUAAAGGGUGCGUAGGCGGACUGUCAAGUCAGCGGUAAAAUUGAGAGGCUCAACCUCUUCCCGCCGUUGAAACUGGUGGUCUUGAGUGGAUGAGAAGUACGCGGAAUGCGUGGUGUAGCGGUGAAAUGCAUAGAUAUCACGCAGAACUCCGAUUGCGAAGGCAGCGUACCGGCAUCCAACUGACGCUGAGGCACGAAAGCGUGGGGAUCAAACAGG